CAUGUGGAGGAGCAGGGAAGCGAACCCGGUUCCCCAGAUUACGAGUCCACCGCUCUUAACCACUACACCACACUGGCUCACACCACACCACACAUACGAGGUCUGUAUGUAGAAGAUUGCUAAGGCUCUCUGCUCCAAGGUCUUCAACCUGUCUCCACAUCUGCAGUUGGACACAUCAUCCCAAAGGUCGCUUGGCUCCAUGCUGUCCUGCCUGAUGUGGCUCCCUUUCAACAGAUGGGGAAAGAAAAUAGGAAAUUACAUGGAAAGAUCAACAAAAGCUCUCCCAAGAAACAAAACAAGCACGAUUCACUAUGUUUUUCUCUGAACUGCAAGCUUUGCAAUUUAAUUUGGGUUGCAAUUUUUGUUUGCAUUUCAUCCCUUCCCCUAACAUGUGACAUCUUAGAAAUGAAUAGUGUGUUUAAAAAAAGGUUCAGGAGACAAAAGGUAGCUGCUUACUCAAAGAUAAAAAUGUUUGUGGCUCUGGGGACUCAGAAGCAGCCGCAAACGGUGACUACAUUCACCUCUGAGUUGUCAGUAUUUUUCUUCAAUUAAAGCAGACUAUAGCGCUCUGUUGCCCUGCUGCAACAAAUCCACUUAAAACAACAACAAACUAGACUCUUUGCAAUUUAAAAAGUAACAGGGAAACAUAGUGAAAAGUGUGAGAUGAACAUCUGAAAAACGAGAAGACCACCAUCCAAGUAAAUCAGGAUGAAUGCUCAUUGCCGUUUAACAUCCUCACAAACAAACUGGAAUGAAUGCUCAAUAGAGACUGGACAAUGUUGUAUUCCAUGUAGCACCAAGUCACUGGUUCUUUCAGUGCAGGAUUUUCUUCUUGUGCAACGAAACCUUUCCUCUCCUCUCCUCCCUCCAUGUGCCCCCAAUUCUGUUCUGCUGGCUCAACUUUUCAGUGCAGGUUUUGCAGGGUAGGACAAGUGCGAGGGAAGGAGGAGGCGGGCGGGAAAAUCCCAUUGUGCUAGCAGUAUUAUUUGAACUGAUGGGAAUAUUUAGCUGAAUGCCUCCUGUAUUCUAAGAUGAAUGCCCAAUGAACAGGUUGUCUGGAGGGGCCCUAUAUGUUAUGUGGCUCAUAUGUCUAUUGUGCAUUUAUUAAAAACGCCUGUGUUUGUAAAUAGGCUGGCGUCG